UGGAGAGUUUGAUCCUGGCUCAGGACGAACGCUGGCGGCGUGCUUAACACAUGCAAGUCGAGCGGAAAGGCCCCUUCGGGGGUACUCGAGCGGCGAACGGGUGAGUAACACGUGAGCAACCUGCCCCUGACUCUGGGAUAAGCCUGGGAAACUGGGUCUAAUACCGGAUAUGACCAGCCUCCGCAUGGUGUGUUGGUGGAAAGUUCUUCGGUUGGGGAUGGGCUCGCGGCCUAUCAGCUUGUUGGUGGGGUGAUGGCCUACCAAGGCGACGACGGGUAACCGGCCUGAGAGGGCGACCGGUCACACUGGGACUGAGACACGGCCCAGACUCCUACGGGAGGCAGCAGUGGGGAAUAUUGCGCAAUGGGCGGAAGCCUGACGCAGCGACGCCGCGUGGGGGAUGACGGCCUUCGGGUUGUAAACCUCUUUCAGCAGGGACGAAGCUUACGUGACGGUACCUGCAGAAGAAGCGCCGGCUAACUACGUGCCAG
rnacentral:rRNA from 1 species